CUUGAACCGUGGUCAACCAUUGCCCUUGCAGCGGUGUUAACAGAGGUGCAGACAGCAAGCAGACCUCGUCGCCUUUGGGGAGCUGUGGCCGUCCCCCUCAAAGUGAAUCUGGAGGUCCCACACCU
rfam:Tupaia chinensis contig48945, whole genome shotgun sequence.